UGCUUAUGUGCACGUUUCCUGUCCAUUUUGACCCAACAGCUGAGCUGUGUGAGAGAGGAGAUCUGGUCUCAUUCCUGAAGCUGAACAGAGACCCAGCAGGCAGCCGGUACCCGAGAAAAGGCUGCAAAUUAAGUGAAUACACGAACAACUGGGUGAGAACAGUCACAGAGUGGAGCGCCAGCCUCUCGCAUCCAGUCCCGUGCUCGUGGUAUCGGAAGUGGCUCGGGGAGAGGAACCCUCACCAAGGGACUCCAAGCUGGUCCCAGCAUCAAGAAAGACAGGCAGUAAACCUGAGCUCAGUUUGGAACAGCGUGCCUCAGGUGUAACUCCAGACAGUUGUUAAAUAGGUAGGUCUUUAAAUGAGGAAUAGCUGUAAUUCGGGAAGGAAGCUGAUAAAUGCUGCACACCUAAACCAGCUACAGCAGUGGCCAACUGAAAGUUAAUCCCAUGGGAAAAUCUGGGAGAUGGCAUAAACUACACAUCAGAAUAAUUCCAUCCUACUUAGCAAGAGGCCAGGGUGGGAGAGUAGAGGGCUGGUGCACCAGGAGG
rnacentral:lncRNA from 1 species